CCAGUGGAGGUGCUGUUACUUU
rnacentral:miRNA from 1 species